rnacentral:misc_RNA from 1 species
UUUGCGGUCUUACCAUCACUUUCUGCCAAUUGCUUGCAAUAGCUACUAUUGUUUUAUGUGUACCUUAAUUGUUACAAUAUAUGGCUUGAAAAAAAAAGACAUUAUAAGGUAAUUCCUUUUUAUAUCUUUCAGGAGUUUCUUUGAAGAAUGGAAACUGGCCAUGCUCUGGAAGUGAAUUAAGAGAAGGGCUUGUUUCAUGGAAUACUUCAAAAGUUACUAAGAUAAAAUAAUGGCAACAAAGAAGGACACAAGGACUGCUUUAAAUGUUAUGCAGUUUCUUCAGAAAAAUUCUCAAAAAAUAUGGAAUUGAGUUCAGACUGGAACAAAU